rnacentral:rRNA from 1 species
GACGAACGCUGGCGGCGUGCUUAACACAUGCAAGUCGAACGGAAAGGCCCUGCUUUUGUGGGGUGCUCGAGUGGCGAACGGGUGAGUAACACGUGAGUAACCUGCCCUUGACUUUGGGAUAACUUCAGGAAACUGGGGCUAAUACCGGAUAGGAGCUCCUGCUGCAUGGUGGGGGUUGGAAAGUUUCGGCGGUUGGGGAUGGACUCGCGGCUUAUCAGCUUGGUGGUGGGGUAGUGGCUUACCAAGGCUUUGACGGGUAGCCGGCCUGAGAGGGUGACCGGCCACAUUGGGACUGAGAUACGGCCCAGACUCCUACGGGCGGCAGCAGUGGGGAAUAUUGCACAAUGGGCGGAAGCCUGAUGCAGCAACGCCGCGUGCGGGAUGACGGCCUUCGGGUUGUAAACCGCUUUCGCCUGUGACGAAGCGUGAGUGACGGUAAUGGGUAAAGAAGCACCGGCUAACUACGUG